rnacentral:rRNA from 1 species
AUUGAACGCUGGCGGCAUGCCUUACACAUGCAAGUCGAACGGCAGCACGGGGCAACCUGGUGGCGAGUGGCGAACGGGUGAGUAAUGCAUCGGAACGUACCUUUCAGUGGGGGAUAACGUAGCGAAAGUUACGCUAAUACCGCAUAUUCUGUGAGCAGGAAAGCAGGGGAUCGCAAGACCUUGCGCUGAUUGAGCGGCCGAUGUCAGAUUAGCUAGUUGGUGAGGUAAAGGCUCACCAAGGCGACGAUCUGUAACGGGUCUGAGAGGAUGAUCCGCCACACUGGAACUGAGACACGGUCCAGACUCCUACGGGAGGCAGCAGUGGGGAAUUUUGGACAAUGGAGGCAACCCUGAUCCAGCCAUGCCGCGUGAGUGAAGAAGGCCUUCGGGUUGUAAAGCUCUUUCGGCCGGGAAGAAAUCGCACGGGCUAAUACCCUGUGUGGAUGACGGUACCGGAAUAAGAAGCACCGGCUAACUACGUGCCAGCCGCCGCGGUAACAC